UUCACUCUCUUCUGCUGUGGUGGGAAAGUCAAGCUGAGGAAGACUCGUCCCUCUCAGAACAGACAGAGUAGAAAGGACCAGGACAAAGAUAAUGCAUCUGAUACCGGUUCAGACUUGUCUGGAGGUGAUGUUACAACCCAAAGGGUCAAGGACAAGAGUAAUGGAAAGGUGGGCAGGGAGAAAGACCGGACUGAAGUUCAGCUGUUGAAAUCAUCUCAGGACCACGAACCCGAAAAUCGAAGGACACCCCGGCAAGUGAAGACCCCUGUGGAGGAAAUUUACAUAAGACCUGACUCUCCUACUCUACCACGUGCU